GCCCAUCGAAGUGAUUAAGCGUCCUAAAUCUCUUGGAUUAGGGAUGAGCUUCCCAGAGUCUGGCGUAGAACCGGAAAGGAAUAGGGAGUCAGAAUCUCAAAGCGCUAAGUCGAAGCAAAGUGGCAGAGGAGCAUCCGUGAGAAGAACACCUCAAAGUAUCGGAGCUUUUGAAAGGCAUACCAAAGGGUUUGGAUCCAGAGUGAUGGCAAAGAUGGGAUUUGUUGAAGGUAUGGGUUUGGGAAAGGAUUCUCAGGGCAUAGUCAACCCCUUGGCUGCUGUCAGGCUCCCGAAGUCUCGAGGAUUGGGUGCCACUGGUUAGGAUAUAUCAGUCCCCAACCUCAGCAAGCAGCUGCUUAGUAAGUUAUUCUACUUUGCAGUCAAGAUUAUGAAUGUGAAUAUUCUAAUUCUGUCUUAACUUCAAUGGAAGUUGUUACACCGGUAUUAUGUAAUGUCAACAUAGAAGCUAGUGACAUUGGCUCAUGCACCCUUUGUUAUAAGUUACUGGAGGAUUUCUUUCUGUUUAAGUGGUCAGGAGAUUACUUUAUUGUAUAGCCAAGAAGGCUUGAUCGAUGCCUCGGUAUAACCUUUUCAAAAUGUAUCCUGUUGGAAAGAUGCAUUAGCAAUGUGGACAACCUGGCCUUGUUUUACCAUCUCCGCGGGAAGCGUCAAUGCGGUAAUUUGUCAAAGCAGUAAUUUGUGGAAAUACUGAGUCUUGUGUUACGUUAAUGAAGCAAAUGUGUACGAUUUGCACCUUUACCGUUAUUUAGCAUGAAAGUUCUGCAAUUGUGAGUUGGUCUUACUUGAGAUGCAGUUAUAGAUCAUCACAAAAGAAGUCAAUAUGGUCUAGUUAGAUGUAAAUUGAUCCUUCCGUUCGACGUGUGGAUACUGCGAGUGAUAGCACUUGACGCUGUCAUAUGAGUGCUGUUUCAGCAUCACAACUAGUAAUUGUCAAGUAGAGAGGGUGCUGAAGGCAUCUUAGAUUCUUAGCUAUAGCUUACAUACACGUAUCAAUUCAAUCAUGCGAUGUCCAAGUAGAUUUUUCUCUUGACAUCGAGAUUUGUCAAACAAAAUCCAAGUGCUACACGCGGAAAGGUGUGUAGAACUUGUGAGAUCCGAUUAUGAAAUGUCGGCUGGUGACGGUAGCUAUUGAGUCUAUGUCCUGUUUAAUCGAGUUGGUCCAAAUGAGUCAAAAAUACAAUCUUAUGCAUGUUGGCAACUUGACAUUCAUCCUAUACUUGUAAAAUUGUACCGCUACAGAAAUUUGUAAGGUACAAAUUUCGUGUAUCAUUAUCAUCCAUCGGUUGAGAUUUGUUAGUUAAUCUGACAUUUGGUCAAUCAGAAUACUUGGAGGGUCGGCCGCUUAUUUUGCGGCGAAAUUGUCCAGACAUGCCAUCCAUUGGCGAUGUCAGUGUGAGUCUUCCCUUGACAGAUGAUGCUGUAAAAUCCAAAGUCGUCUGCCCCGAAAGGCACGGGACUUACAAAGGUUGCUGCUUUAUCUGCACUUUAAGUACCUUUUAGGAGAUAAAGGAAGUACUAUAAAAUAUUUAAUUUGGAAAGACGCAUCGACCAUGACAGCCACAUUAAGUCUGCAUGUCAUUCCUCACAUGUAAGAGGAAGGGGUAGACACGCACGAGGCCACCACAUUUGACUCGUAUAUGCUCUGUACAAUUGUUUUUGGAGUGGGCAGAAAUCUCGCACUAACGCCUUUUGUUUUAUAGUUGAUGGCUCGGACCGUGAAGACUGGGUUAACCGAAAGUUUUUCGAAAUGCCCCGCGAGUCCUAUGGACCAAUUAAAUACAAAAAGUUGAUUUGUGCAUAAGGCCAGUUUGCAUGAAAAUAGUGGGAUCAAUGGGUGCUUCCCGAAUUCUCGAGCUAGAAAUCGCUAAGCGCUCCAAUCAAUUACACCAAUCCCGAAAGGCUACGAUUAUGUGAGCCUAAUGCAUUUUCACUGGUGAAUUUUAUGAGACAAUGGGAGAUACACAAGAUCUAAUGGCUCAUAUGCAUUGAUCUCGCAUUAAUGGAGGGCAUUUUCCAAGUGAACCUAACUCGAUGAACCCAAAUUGGAUAAGAAACAAAUCCAAACAUACUGGAGAGUUUCUUUUAUUUGGUUCGAUGUAUUCACGAUUACAUCUAGACCUUCAAUGUAAAAGAUUUGAGAGGAUAUUGCUCGAACGUUGGGUAAGAAAAAGAUACAAGUUCAAUUUGGGAGGUUUGGGCGUGUAGACUCCGGCUCGUUAAACAUUGAUGGAGAAAAAAAAAUUGUUGACAGCGCCAAGGGCCCUAGUAGCAAAUACAAUGAACUCUUACGUUCAAAUUUUCCGUGGACUUUAAUUGCCUACUUGGGAUUUUCUUAUUGGUUGUACAAAAGAAAGCGUGUGGGUUCAGGAAGUGGUUAGAGAAAAGAAAAGAAAUUUAAAGCAAGGUUUUGCUUUCUUGGGUUUCUUUACUAAAGAAGCCAAAUAGGGGGUUCCUUUUGAAAUUGAGCCACCGCACAAAGAACAGAAGAAAGAACGUACGGACGCUCUUGAAUAAGCUGUCCAAAGGGUUUUGCUGUAGGCUUAGAUUAUGCAGUGAUUUGCACCGUGAGCUUUACAUCUAAUUAAUUUGUUUAUUUGUAAACACUUUUGAGUUUGGUCUUAAUCUAGGUGUGGGAAAUACCCGAGCAUGUAAGCGAUUAUAACUCCAAUUCUUUAAUUACAAUGAAUUAUUUAUCGCCGGCUCUCCCAUGGGGUAGCUACCGAUAUUCGGACCGAAUCACAUAAAUAUUUGGUAUCUUUGUUGUUCCCCGUCUAUUUCUUCAAUGUUUUUGCAUUGUUUUAAUAGCAAGAUCUUGUCAAUUUUCGCGUUACUUUUACAACAUGUCUACUUUUGAGAUGCCUCUAGUCAAGAUCACUUUUUGCCGAAAGUUCCAAGUAAAUGAUAAGGCUUGUGCUUUACUUUGGAUAGAGAUUGAAUUAGUCAUAUAAAUGAUAACGGUUGACUAGGCUAGACUAGACUAACCGCGUGGAAAAUUAUGCCAAUAGAGACUUUCGGAAAAUUCUCCGCCAAUAAAAUUUGUCCAUUGCGUAACGUACAUUCCCUACCCGGCACGCUAAUUAACCUUGUCACCAAAAGUGGCUGAGCUACAUUCAUCACUAAAGAUGACCAAGACUUUGGCCAUGACCACAAGUUCUACACUCAAGCACAGGCGCUGCUGAACUCCUAUAAAAUUGCUCUAACUUGCAAAAAAGAUGUUAACUCCAGAGUGUGAUACAUCUAAAGUUUGGUCACUCGAAUCUACAGUCAUGAAAAAGGAAGCAUUGUGGGUGUUUGUGGUGGUUUGGGGUAUCGCAUGUUUAUGUGGCUCUCAUGGGUGUCAAGGGCAAGAAAGGGUUGCCCUCUUAGCGCUCAAUGCCACAUUGGACCUGACAUAUAGGGGGGACACGGGGGGAUCAUAUUUCAAUUGUUGCAGCUGGGAAGGUGUUGAGUGCAACCCCACCACAGGACGAAUCACUCAGCUAAUGCUCCCCUAUUCGAGAUAUCACCGUUUCGGCUCCAAAACUUGGUACCUAAAUGCUUCUCUACUUCUUCCCUUUGAAGAACUCAAGAGUCUUGACUUGCAGAGCAACUAUUUAGGAGGAUGGAUUGCACCAGAAGGUAUAAUUUCACCGUUCGUCCAUUUCCUAUAAAAAAGAGAUACUCAUUAUCUAAUGAACUCAUAAGUUAAUCACAUCCAGGUUCUUAUUCACUUCCUGCAUCGUAGAUGAUUAUGUCCACAUCAUCAUUUAUUCACGAGUCUACAACAUAUUUCCCCUUGAAAUGGCAAUAUCUAUUUGCACGUGUCCUUGAAUAGAUUUAUGCGGCUUUUACUGCUUUUUAUUGUUUGUUUGCAGAACAAAACCUGUUAUCUUCGAGGCUGAGCAAACUAGAGUAUCUUGACUUGAGUUAUAACUCUCUCAAUAAUUCUAUUCUAUCCAUUCUCGGUACAAUUCCAUCUCUCCACCGUCUGCUCCUCAAAGAUAGUAAUUUGAGUGGGACUUUACAUGUGAAUGGUAAAUUUCUUCGACUUAUUCUCUACUUAUAAUUUAGUACAAAGUCGCCAUCCUUGACAUGAGUUAACAUUGUUUAUGGAUAAAUUAGGUAAUUUUAGCAAUUUAAUGGAGUUGGACAUAAGUGGUAACGCAGUUGAUGUAGUGGCUAUUGCUGAAGGUACUGUUUUAGUUUUCAUGUAGGAACCUCAUUUUUAUUCGUAAAUUAAACUAACUAGCUUGUCAGUCAUGUAGGCAGGCUCUUUAAUACCUAUACGUGUGCUUCAUAUUAAGAAUAAAGAAGUCAUAUAUUGCAAACCCUUUCUCUUUCCAUAUAGAAAUGUUACUAAUUCAAAAGAUUCCUAUCCCAAGGCAUAUGUGCGGGUGCUUUCAUUAUUUACUCUAGAUAAUUCUAUUUUACUCGUUCACGGUACAAUUCCGACUCUCAGGUGUCUAUGCUUCAAAACAACAUUUGAAUGGGACUUCACAUGUGAAUGAUAGUUUCUCCAACUUAUUCUCUAUUUAUAAUUCCAUACAAAAUCACCAUCCUUGACUUGAGUUAGCAAUGUUUGUGGAUAAAUUAGGUGGUUUCUAUAAUUUAAAGGAGCUGGACAUAAGUGAUAAUCCAGUCGAUGUAGCAGCUAUUACUGAAGGUAUUGUUUCAAUUUUCAUGUAGAAUCCUUGUUUGUAUUGAUAAAUUAAACUAACUAGACUACGAUUCAUGCAUGCUCUUUAAUACCUUUACAUGUGCUUCAUAUUAAGAAUAUAGAAGUCAUCCCUUCUCUUUCCAUAUAGAAAUAUUGCUGAUUCAAAAGAUUCCUAUUCCCAGACAUCCGCAUGGGUGUUUUCAUUAUUUUCUCUGGAUAAUUCUAUUCUACUUGUUUGCGGUACAAUUCCAACUCUCAUGUGUCUAUUCUCCAAAAUAGCAUUUGAAUGAGACUUUAAAUGUGAAUGAUAGUUUCUCCAACUUAUUCUCUAUUCAUAAUUUCGGACAAAAUCACCAUGCUUGACUUGAGUUAGCAGGGUUCAUGGAUAAAUUAGGUUGUUUCAAUCAUUUAAAGGAGCUAGACAUAAGUUGUAAUGCAGUCAUUGUAGUGGCUACUGUUGAAGGUAUUGUUUCAGUUUUCAUGCAGUAUCUCUCAUAGCUAUACAUGUGCAUCAUAUUGAGAAUAUAGAAGUCAUAAAUUAGGACCCCCUUCUCUUUCCAUAUAGAAAUGUUGCCUGAUUCAAAAGAUUUCUGUCGCGAAGCAUCCGCGUGGGUGCUUUCACAACUUUAUUGCCAAUCAAGUUAUUUUCUUGGAACUUUACUGGUAGGCAUCAAAAACUUGAGCCACUUAGAGAACCUCUACCUUGAUGGUGUCCACUUGAAGGAUGUGGGAACUGUCAUGCAAGCAUUAGGGGCACUGUCAUCCCUCAAGAUCCUUUCUCUCCAGUAUAAUACAAUAGAAGGAAUGAUUACUACUCAAGGUUAGUCAAACCCAUUAGUAAAUGUAUGCUCAUAAUAACGCGCCGUUCGUUUUGCAGAAAACAAUUUUCAAGAAAGUGUUUUUCAGAUUUUCCAGCAUUUACGGAAAAUAAUUAAGUGAAGGAAAAUAUUUUCCUACAAUGGAAAAGGCAUGUUCAAAAGUGGGGAAAAUGAGGAAAUCAUUUUCCAUUCUCUUUCUUUCACCUAAACCUAUUUUCCUCCAUGCACUCUUUUUAAUUAUUUUUUUUCUUGUUUUCAUUUUUUAAAAAUCAAAUAUUUAAUUUCUUUCUUUCUUUCUUUCUUUCCUUCGUAUUAUUUUUCCUUCUUCCUCAUUCGAUUGCCGACUAUGACGACUGCCGGCGACUGACCACAGGCAAAGGACAAGCUUGCCAAAGGCUGAGGCUUCGCCAAUCUAACAAGGCUCAAGCUUGUCUGCCUUGAGCAAUCUUGAUGUCACCCAUGUUUGGUGAUCAACCAAACAAGAAGGAAAAAAGAAAAAAGAAGAAAAAUAAUUAAAAUUUAUUUUUUUUAGAAUAAAAUAUAAUAUUAUUAAAAGGAGUACACAUAUGAAAAUCAAAUCAGAUUUUCCAUACCAAACGAUUGAAAAUAUUUUCUAGUUCAAUUUUAGAUUUAAGCCUAAUAUCGGAAAAUAUUGUCAUUUUUCUAAAAAAAUGACUUCUUGGAAAAAAAUUUCCGGAAACGUCAUAUUUUCCGCAAAACAAAUAGAGCCUAAGUUUUUAUUAAAAUAUUCCAUUCACUCGUAAUAUUUCUAUGCCAUUUCUUGAUUAUGUAUGCAUAAGGAAAUCUGAUGUUCAAUAAUCUUUUGUUUUCUGCGAAGAUUUCCAUAACUUCAGUAAGUUGGAACAGCUCAUCUUGGAUUAUUCUUCAUUGAACACCACCAUGGGAAUCCUUUCCAGCCUUGGUCCUUUGACAUCUCUUAGAUUGUUGUCCUCAUAUAGCACCGGUCUUAGUGGCAAACUAUCAGAUCGGAGUAAGUCCUGAUCUCUCAGUGUAUAACUUGAACAUAAAAUGAAUCCUUCAUGUACGUGUGUGUCCUUGUUAUAUGUUAUGAUAUCUACCAUUGUAGUUGAAUUGACUUGUGAUAUCAAUAACAGGCUUGUGUAACCUCAUAAAACUAGAAGAGCUGGAUCUUAGCAUUAACGGAAUUACCGGCGGGCUUCCUACAUGCUGGCGAAACAUGACAUCUAUUCGGGUUCUAUUUCUUGAAGACAAUGAAUUCACUAAUAAUGUCGCCUCAUCUCCCCUCAUUAGUCUUACCUCACUCGAAUUGCUUUCCAUUUCGGGUAAUUAUUUUGACAUCCCCUCAUCACUCGGCCCACUUGCAAACUAUUCAAGACUUAAGGUCCUCUUGCUUGAUGACAACAACCUAACAACUGAUUCCAGAGUUGUGUCUUCGAUCCCAAAGUUCCAAUUGACAGUUUUUAGAAUGUCAAAUAGUCUAUCGAAAGGAUUCAAAGUGACUUCUCUUGGCUUUCUCAAUCAUCAAUAUGACUUGAGAACCAUUGAUCUCUCCUCGAAUGACAUUGCGGGUCCCUUUCCAGCUUGGUUGUUGGAAAACAACACUAAGUUGGAAAACCUUCUUAUGGCAAAUAACUUAUUUGCGACACUUGAGGUUCCACUGAUGACCCUUCAUAAUCUUUCGGUGAUGGACAUGUCCAACAACGGCAUGAGAGGAGAGCUCACGACCGAAUUUUGUUUAAAUGUCCCAAAUCUGUCCCACCUUAAUCUAUCAGCCAACAGAUUGGAAGGGAAUAUUCCAUAUGAACUGGGUAGUAUAAAAUCCCUAUAUACCUUAGACCUUUCCCACAACAAUUUCUCCGGGGGACUACCUAUCCAGUUAAUAGAUAGCAACUCAUCAUUGCAUAGACUCAGCGUUGCAUAUAACAACUUGCAAGGGGAAAUCGUGUUUUCCGACGACACCAAGAACCUACAUUGGUUAUGCCUAAAAUUAGAGCACAACAUGUUCACUGGAGAUCUCUCUUUUCUUUCAUCACUGGUAAAUUUGUUCCGAUUGCACGUUAGCAACAACUUUUUCAUUGGUAAGCUUCCCAGAGUGAUUGCAAACAUGUCAUCGCUUGCACUCCUUGACUUGUCCAAAAAUCAGUUAAAUGGCCUCAUCCCUCAAGAACUCUUUAAUCUUCCUCAGCUCCAGUAUUUGGCGUUGUCUGAUAACAAUCUCUCUGGUUCAUUAGCAUCAUCUUUCAUAGCACCGCAGUUGAGUCAUAUCCAUCUGAAUGGGAACAAAUUGAAUGGUUCAAUCGUGCAUCUGCUCCCUAACAGCUCCAAUUUGGUGACCUUGGAUUUGAGUGAAAAUGAGUUCGUCGGAAGCAUACCCUAUUGGCUAGGUAACCUCUCUCAAUUAAGCAUUCUUUUACUGAGAGGUAAUAGCUUCUAUGGAAGAUUUCCCAAGCAAUUGUGCAGAUUGAAAAGCUUAAGCAUGAUCGAUCUUUCUAAAAACAAUCUGUUUGGUCCAUUACCUAUUUGCUUGGGACCCAUGAAUUUCUCCUCUGGAGGAUAUGCCAAGGUAGCUUCAACACAGUUCCACCUAUCAAAUCUAGAAUUGUCACCUAUUUCUUAUGUGAGGACAAUUAGAAGCCAGACCAGGUUCUACCACGAUAGAUUACUAGUAGACGAAGCAAUGCAAGUUCCACAUAUUGUUGGGUUCACAACAAAAAGAAGGUUUGAUGCUUAUAAAGGCUAUGCACUCCUUAACAUGAUAGGACUAGAUUUUUCUUGCAACAAUUUCAGCGGGGAGAUCCCACCAGAGAUUGCAAUCUCACAGGACAUGCUUGUGUUGAAUCUGUCGCACAACAAGCUUACGGGGCAUAUACCGAUGUCAUUGUCGAACCUCACAAAGAUAGAGAGCAUUGACCUUUCCUACAACAACUUGAUUGGUUCUAUCCCUGAAGAGCUUACUCAGUUGAUUUCCCUGGAAGUCUUCAAUGUGUCUUACAACGACUUGUCAGGAGCCAUACCAAACAAAAAUCAAUUUGGGUCAUUCGAUGAAAGCAGUUACUACGGAAACCAUCUUCUGUGUGGACUGCCAUUGAGUAAUGACUGUUCGACAACCGUUAACAUUAAUUGCCCAGCAACAAAAUCAUGCAGGAAAGCUAAAGAAGAUGGUUUCAUAGACGGAGAGACAUUCUACAUCAGCUUUGGAGUGUCAUACACAAUGGUUUUACUGGUAAUUCCAGUUGUUCUGUUCAUCAACCCCCAAUGGCGGCAAGGAUGGUUUCACUAUGUGGAACUAGUUAUCACCACAUGUCAGAGCUUGUUCAUCACAUGCUACUAUUUUGUGCAGGAUGGUUUUCGAAAAUUGUCCAGCGGCCGAACAAUUUAGGUUUCCCUGUUUUGCAUUUCUAGGUAAUGGCAGGAUUGGGUUUUUUUCCUGUCAUUUGUUAUUGUCGUUGAUUAGCAUUGGCCUCAAUGUGGAUCUACCUGGUCAAUGUAAGUUUUCACCUUCACAACUGACUAAGGUCUUGUUUUAAUUUCCUUUAAGACAAUGCAUGCCGUGAUCCUUCCCUUUUUCGAAAAGGCGGUUUUUACGUAGUUGCUAACUCAUCUUUAUUUGGUUAGGUGAUCAUACUACUAACGAUAACAAACAAUACUAGAAAAACACAGCUGUCUCUUCUCACCUUUGUUAUUUAUGUAGUAGCACAUUUGCUUUCGUUUCCGAAUGAAAAUUUUCGUCUCUUUAUAUCACUCAGUCCAUUCGCAAACCGUUCGAGACAUAAAACUCCUCUUGCUUGACAAUAUAGUGUGAACGACUGCAUGUUCAUCAAAGUCAUAGGUUCAUGGCUCAUCCACAAUUUGGUUAGGACAUCGAUUUCUGUCUAACUUUUACGAAGGUUCACUUGUGCUGGAGUGUCUCAUGAGAUAGUUAAAUUCACGGUCAAACUUGCAUUUUCAUGACUACUUUUGCUAGUCCUAUCUGCACGGAAUGACAUUCUAACAUUACGCUAGGGAACUUAGCUCUAGAGGCAGGAUUAUGAUAAAGUUACGCAUAAUGUAACAUCGACCUUAUAGAUUAUUUGAAUGUGUAGAAGCAAGUUUAAGGCGCAAAAGAGAAUUAUUAUAUCAAAUAACAUAUAAGUAAGGUAUUAUGCCCUUUUUUUCACAAAAAAAGGAGGAAAAAUAUAGAGAACCUUGGGAAACCAUCCCACUUUUUANNNNNNNNNNNNNNNNNNNNNNNNNNNNNNNNNNNNNNNNNNNNNNNNNNNNNNNNNNNNNNNNNNNNNNNNNNNNNNNNNNNNNNNNNNNNNNNNNNNNAAAAUUGGGAUCUGCAUUAGCAUCCCCCACCUUGUUAUUCACAUAUCUUAAUUCAUCCGUGAUCUGUGACCUUGAAGGAAAAACCCCAUUGAGGACACACACAACAUCCCCGAAUGCCAGUAUCUGACCUUCAGUGGGCUGGUUUCUGAGCAUUGAUCUUUCGGAAUCUUGCCUAUAGAUAUCUCCAGAAUUUGGCCAGAUCAUAGUCUUCAUAUGUCAUCGAAUAACACCUAAGGGUUCGGAUUUUAUAUAGAAAGGAGGCUGAUAUGAUGUGGGAGUAUGAAUAGAAAGCCAACCCCCUCCCCCCCCCCCCCCAUCUUCCACCACACCAAUGUUAACUGUUAGAGCUCGAAUGCCGCACUCAAGGCCAUGGCCACAAGCUCAAAGGCAGCACGAAUGCCGAUGGCCUUUGACCUUGAAGGUUAUGCGAUCUGGCCACCUAGAGAGUGAAUCAAAUUGUCAAAGUAGGUAGCUAAAUUGCAACCAAAUUGCCAACAAAAAAUACAACCCCAAGGACAUCUUCAGCCUCCCAAACAUGACAAACUUAUAUAAAGCAACCAAUGAAGUUGUUGUCCAAUUAUAUCAAUGUGGUAUCUCCACUAAGAAGAAAUGAGCAUUUAGGAAAGCUAGUUUGUGUGCGCAAUCCAACUUCAUUCCGGUAACAAAGAAACUGUUUCUACUUAGAGAUCUUUCUUGUACCGACGAAUAAAUCAUACUAGAUAUGCAAAAAUCUAGUGGUCAUUCUUUCAUCAAAUCUUCUUUAAUUAAUGUCUAAGUAUUUGGAGACUUUGUUAAAGAAAAUUUAGGGUCCCAUAACUUAAGAGGGCAAAUGGACUCAGUUAACGCCAAUAACAUAUAAAUACAUCACAAAUUGUCGUGAUUUCGGUAGCCUAAGCCAAAAAAGUUUCCGAGGAUCCCUAUCAAAUUGCAAAACCAAUGAAGGUCGAAUUCCGCCCAGCAAGACUAGUUGUCCUCGACGAUCCCAGAAGACCAUGCUGAUGGGCCGAUGGCAUCGAUUCUCGCAUAUUCCCAAAAGAGAAAGAGCCCCCACCACAGCCGUUUGCGUAGCGGAAUAUGAUGUCCCCAAGCUCCCGCCGCCGCAUCACAGCCGUCCACAAGUCCCCUUGCGGCCCACGGCGAAUCGCCAACGGUCCAGAUGCGACCGCUUCCCCCAAGGCAAGGAAACCCCACGCAGGAGGAGGUGAUCCCUUUCUAUCGUCGUCACCCCCAAAUCGAUCUCGAUCGAUCGAUCAAUUAGGUCAGAAAAUUCAAUCGAAAGUUGAUUCGCGAGCUCGGACAUGGCUGGAGGCAAGAGGAGAUCGAAUUCGAGGAGAAACGAUGAGGAAGAUGGUGAGGAUGAUGUUGCGGAAUAUGGUGAUGAGGAAGACUCAGAGUCGGAGUCGGCUGAGCAGGAUGGAGCAACAGAUUCUUCUGAAAGUGAUGACUCCGAGGACAUGUCUGAUAGUGGUUCAGAUGUUGAUGAUGAAAUUGCUCAAGAUUAUUUGGAAGGAAUCAGUGGGAGCGAUUCUCUUUUACAUGCAAAAAAAAUUGUUACAGCAGGUUUCUUCUUCGUCAGAUGAUUCAGACGAUUCUUCUAGUAGUGAUUUGGAUGGAAACGAUGAAAAAAUUGGGUGGAAUUGCUCUCCAGGAUGCUUCCACGGAGUAUGGUAUGCAGAGGAAGCGUCAAUCAAAACAUCAAGUUCUUCUCUUAACAGAUGAUGGUGUAAAAUUCAAAGUCGUCUACCCCGGAAGGCACGGGUCUUGCAAAGGUGGUCGCUUUAUUUGCACUUUAAGUACUCUUUAGGAGAUAAAGGAAGUACUAUAAAAUAUUUAAUACGUGACAAAAAUAUCGAAAUUGCACGCCUAGCCUAAUGUGCUUUUCAAUUUCCCCUUACUUUUUUUUGUUUGAAAAAUUGGAUUAAAAAAUAGCUUCUUGUCACGGGUCGAUCAAUUUCGGUCGAUCAAACACCGCGCGGCCUUAGGAUCGGUGAUCCCAAGUCAGCCUUACACACACACGCGCUCGAACACAAGAACUGAAUGGGCAAAGAGAGUGUAUAUUGCUUGUGAACGAACUGGUUACAAGGAGGGAGAGGGAUCCCUAUAAAUAUUUAUACAAGAGUGGGUCGUUUCUCGGCCGUGGAUCGUCCCUCCGAUCCAACGGUCCAUUUUGAAUAUGUAUAAUCAUUACACGCUAUACAACAGACUACUCGAAGGCUACUCGAUGGUCUGCACCCGGCAGGCCCUUGGGAAGUCCAUGGGUCGCGCGCGUCAGGCCUUGGCCAGAUCAUGGGCGUGCGUCAGAAGCAAGAUCAGGGUUGCAGGUCGGUCUGACACGCGACCAGCUGAAUCGUCAUGGGCUGUUCGAGCAUCGCUCAGGGGUCGCCCACGGGCUGCGCAUGGGCCUUCCGCUCGUUCUGCUCAUGGGUCGUUCGUGGGCUGCUUCCGGGCAGCCCUUUGUACGUGACACGGUCCCCCACGGACGAUCUUGGAUCAUGCUUGUCCGUGGGCCGUGUCAUUCUCCCCCACCUAAUCUGGCGACGCCCUCGUCGCGUCUGUGGCAUGGAAGGCUUCGAUGUGCCCCUUGAAUUCCCACAGAGCCUCGGAGGGUUCCCAGCUUGCUUCACUCUCAGGAAGGCCUCUCCACUGGACGAGGUACUCCUUCCUUGGUGCGUAAAAGGGCGUCUUUUGGGAGACGUCCGAAAUGAACUUUCUUCAUUAAAAUUGAUAAAGAAACUGAGGAGAGCGAGCUGCUUUUCUAGAAUUUGAGAAUUUGCUAAAAUCCAAAUCGGAACCCCAGUUUCCAUCUCAUCGCACCUCCUCCGCCAUAGUCCUCCCCUCUCUACAGAAGUCGCGCGAUAAAUAAGGGAUUUGGACUUUUUGCUGGGGAGGCGGGACCCUCACCCCACCCGGGUGGGGCCCCCACGCGCGACUGUACACGCGUCAAACUCACAGCAACCCUACCCCUUCUUCUCCCCCUCCCUCGCACUUGCGAGACUUUUUCUUUUUCCAAUCGUGGGGGGGCGCACCACCCAAGCAAGGGGCGGGGGGUCUUCCACUUUUGUCUUAAUUGUUUUCUUUCGGGAAGAGGGGUUAGGCGCGUAAUGGAAUUACGGGUUGACACGCACGAGUUCACCACAUUUGACCCGUACGCGCUCCGAACAAUUGUUUUUGGAGUGGGCAGAAAUCUCGCACUAACGCCUUUUGUUUUAUACUUGAUGGCCAUGACCACAAGUUUCACACUCAAGCACAGGCGACGCUGAACUCCUAUAAAAUUGCUCUAAAUUGCAAAAACGAUGUUAACUCCAGAGUGCGAUCCAUAUAAAGUUUGGUCACUCGAAUCUGCAAUCAUGAAAAAGGAAGCACUGUGGGUGAUUGUGGUGGUUUGGGGUAUCGCAUGUUUAUGUGACUCUCGUGGGUGUCGAGAGCAAGAAAGGGUUGCCCUCUUAGCGUUCAAUGCCACAUUGGACUUGACAUUUUGGGGGGACAUGGGGGAUCAUAUUUCAACUGUUGUAGCUGGGAACGUGUUGAGUGCAACCCCACCACAGGACGAGUCACUCAGCUAAUGCUUUCCUUUUCGAGAUAUGACCGUUUCGGCUCCAAAACUUGGUAUCUAAACGCUUCUCUACUUCUUCCCUUUGAAGAACUCAAGAGCCUUGACUUGUCCUCCAACUAUUUAGGAGGGUGGAUUGCACCAGAAGGUAUAAAUUCACUGUUCGUCCAUUUCCUAUAAAAAAGAGAUACUCAUUAUCUAAUGAACUCAUAAGUUAAUCACGUUUAGGUUCUUACUCACUUCCUGCAUCAUAGAUGAUUAUGUCCACAUCAUCAUUUAUUCACGAGUCUAUGACAUAUUUCCCUUUGAAAUGGCAAUAUCUAUUUGCACGUGUCCUUGAAUAGAUUUAUGCGGCUUUUACUGCUUUUUAUUGUUUGUUUGUAGAACCAAACUUGCUAUCUUCAAGGCUAAGCAAACUAGAGGUGCUUGACUUGAGCGAUAACUUUCUGGAUCAUUCUAUUCUAUCCAUUCUGAGUACAAUUCCAUCUCUUCGGCAUCUAUUCCUCAUAUACAAUAAUUUGAGCGGGACUUUACAUGUGAAUGGUAAAUUUCUCCGACUUAUUCUCUGCUUAUAAUUCAAUACAAAGUUGCCAUCCUUGACGUGAGUUAACAUUGUUUGUGGAAAAAUUAGGUGGUUUUAGCAAUUUAAUGGAGCUGGACAUAAGUGAUAACGCAGAUGAUGCAGUGGCUAUUGCUGAAGGUACUGUUUUAGUUUUCAUGUAGGAACCUCAUUUUUAUUCGUAAAUUAAACUAACUAGCUUGUCAGUCAUGUAGGCGGGCUCUUUAAUACCUAUAUGUGUGCUUCAUAUUAAGAAUAAAGAAGUCAUAUAUUGCAACCCCCUUCUCUUUCCAUAUAGAAUUGUUACUGAUUCAAAAGAUUCCUAUCCCAAGGCAUAUGUGUGGGUGCUUUCAUUAUUUACUCUAGAUAAUUCUAUUUUACCUGUUCAUGGUACAAUUCCGACUCUCAGGUGUCUAUGCUUCAAAACAACAUUUGAAUGGAACUUCACAUGUGAAUGAUAGUUUCUCCAGCUUACUCUCUGUUCAUAAUUCCAUACAAAAUCACCAUCCUUGACUUGAGUUAGCAAUGUUUGUGGAUAAAUUAGGUGGUUUCAGUAAUUUAAAGGAGCUGGACAUAAGUGAUAAUCCAGUCGAUGUAGUGGCUACUGCUGAAGGUAUUGUUUCAGUUUUCAUGUAGAAUCCUCGUUUGUAUUCAUAAAUUAAACUAACUAGACUACGAUUCAUGCAUGCUCUUUAAUACCUUUACAUGUGCUUCAUAUUAAGAAUAUAGAAGUCAUCCCUUCUCUUUCCAUAUACAAAUGUUGCUGAUUCAAAAGAUUUCUAUUCCUAGACAUCCGCGUGGGUGUUUUCAUUAUUUUCUCUGGAUAAUUCUAUUCGACCUGUUCGCGGUACAAUUCCGACUCUCAUGUGUCUAUUCUCCAAAACAACAUUUGAAUGGGACUUCAAAUGUGAAUGAUAGUUUCUCCGACUUAUUCUCUGUUCAUAAUUCCAGACAAAAUUGCCAUCCUUGACUUGAGUAAGCAAGGUUCAUGGAUAAAUUAGGUUGUUUUCAUAAUUUGAAGGAGCUAGACAUAAGUUAUAAUACGGUCAAUACAGCAGCUACUGCUGAAGGUAUUGUUUCAGUUUUCAUGCGGUAUCUCUCAUAGCUUUACAUGUGCGUCAUAUUGAGAAUAUAGAAGUCAUAAAUUUGGACCCCCUUCUCUUUCCAUAUAGAAAUGUUGCCCGAUUCAAAAGAUUCCGGUCGCGAAGCAUCCGCAUGGGUGCUUUCACAACUUUAUUUCCAAGCAAGUUAUUUUCUUGGAAUUUUACUGGUAGGCAUCAAAAACUUGAGGCACUUAGAGAACCUCUACGUAGAUCGUGUCCACUUGAAGGAUGUGGGGACCAUCGUGCGAGCAUUAGGGGCACUGCCAUCCCUCAAGAUCCUUUCUCUCCAGCAUAAUACAAUAGAAGGAACGAUUGCUACUCAAGGUUAGUCAAAUCCAUUAGUAAAUGUAUGCUCAUAAUAACGCUCCGUUCGUUUUGCGAAAAACAAUUUUCAAGAAAAUGUUUUCCAGAUUUUCCCGCAUUUAGGUUACGGAAAAUAAAUAAGUGAAGGAAAAUAUUUUCCUACAAUGGAAAAGGCAUUUUCAAAAGUGGGGAAAAUGAGAGUCAUUUUCCAUUCUCUUUCUUUCACCUAAACCUAUUUUCCUCCAUCCACUCUUUUUAAUUAUUUUUUUCUUUUUUCAUUUUUUAAAAAUCAAAUAUUUAAUUUCUUCCUUCCUUCCUUUCUUUCUUUUUUCCUUCGUAUUAUUUUUCCUUCUUCCUCAUUCGAUCACCGACUGUCACGACCUCUUUUUUUCCGUCCGGGAAAAAGAAGAAGGUUUAGGGGUAUUUGCCUAAAGGGGCAGACCAAUGGCCCUAAAUUAGGCGCGAGCUCUCCCAAGCCCAUACAUCGCGCAACAUUGGAUUUUGAAUUUUAGUUCUUAACAAUCUAUGUAAUUCUAGGAGNNNNNNNNNNNNNNNNNNNNNNNNNNNNNNNNNNNNNNNNNNNNNNNNNNNNNNNNNNNNNNNNNNNNNNNNNNNNNNNNNNNNNNNNNNNNNNNNNNNNUAGCUUAUUGGGGUCAGCUAGAAACCAAUCAAGACACGGGAGUAUUGUCUCGAUUUUUACGCAACUAGAGAUUUCUAGGAACGGGGACUUGUUUACGCUAAUGUUUCUAUUAGCGCCAUUGCGGUACCACUAACUUGGAAGGUUGUUUAUCUAAAUGAUCACACAAUCUUGAUUACCAAUUAUAAUCUUUAUGGAACCACUAAGUGUCCAUGCAAAUGUUUUUCUAGUUUUUUUUUUAAUGUCUAGACUAAUCCUAACAUAAUUUAGAAGAGAAAUUUACACUCAAAUUAAUGAAAAGCGGCGCGUAAGUAAACAUCCAAGAAAUUAAAAUGACUUGAAAAUAAACGCAGAAAAGGUAAACCUGAUACAAGUCGGGCAAAUAAUAUUACAUGGCCUUGUUAUCACGCCCCGGGACAGGACCCCCAUGAGCAAAAUGAGAAUUCAAAUAUGCAUGAAAUUGUUCUAUGUGCAUGAAAUUACUUUAAAUAGUUUUAAUCUACGCAAAAUGGAUUAUUUACAAAAAUGGUUAUAAAAUACCAAAAAUAGCAUUAAAUUAGGAAAAUGACCUUUUAAAAUUAGGAAAAUUUCAUAUAUGUCAUUUCUAUCCUAAUUUGAUGAUAUCUAACAUUUUUUGAUAUUUUUGAAAAUUUCAUAUUUUUUCUCUUUUUUUUAAUAAUUUUUUUUUAAAUAAUAAAUUCUUUAAGCCGAUCUAUGCUAACAUGGAGUAACACAGCACAUGAAUAUCACAAUAAUCAAGCUCAAAUCGACCGUUUCAAAAUCGAAGCUUAGUUUGGGCAUUUUGUCGAACACUUGGUGUGCAUUAAACUAGCCCCAAUAGCCUCCUCGAGCCAUGUUUGCAGCUUUCAAUCUCCACUCAUAAGCAAUCUCAUGUGGAACUAAAGUAUAAAGAUUAUACUACCACAUGCAAAGAACAAGAUUAGAUAGAAAUCAUAGCUAAAAACACACUAGAACCAAGCUAAAAUCGUCCUCAAUGCACGGGUUUGAGCUGAAUUUGCAAAUCUGGGUUUGAACCCAAGUCAAGCAAACAGGUUACAUGCCCAUAUUCAAGCCCCAACACUCAUCACAUACGAGAUCUAAAGGAAAUGCUACUUAAUCCACGUGAAAGUAGGUAACAUGUGCUUUCAAAUGCAACAAACAUCAUAGAGAAUGACUCACCGAAAAACAUCAAAACGACCUCUCCAAGAAGCACACAUGCAAAACUCUUGAAGAGAUUUCAAACACUCUAGAAAAAUUUCAGCCUCAGAAAUCAGUUUUCCGGGCUGGUUUUCCUCUUGAUUUUCAUGAUCAAAACAUGCUCAAACUCGAAAAUAAAUACAUCUAGGAUUCUUACCUUGCUUCCUAGUUUCAUUUCUGGUUAUUGGCCGAUGAAACCGACAAAUUAUCCUCGGGGACCUGUGGAAGUUGGCUUCUUCAACUGGAAAUGAGAUUUGCAAAAAAAAAGAACUGACAACGAAGGUUUUCAUUGACCUCUAACAUUAGACUUCAAGACGUAUUUUGUUGGAAAACUUGACACCACGCCAAAAUAUAUGUAUUCUAGUUUGGGUUAAAAGUCAAGAUUUUCCUCAUUUGUCUCUCAAAUUUCUCAAAAACACUGGCUUUCCUCACUCGUGACCAACCAGUCUCAACACUUAAAAAAUUUUCGGACUUUCUUGGCCCGCCAGGAGGGCACUGUUUCGGGGGGCUUUAGGAGGCCUUCCCGAUCUCCAUUUGGGACGUGCGACCUAUGGUUGGAAAGAUCUUUGAAUGAAGUUUCACUAUCUAGUUGGAGGUUUUGGUUAAUUUUGGCUGCAAGUUUGCGAAAAUUUCCCUUUUCUCUCUGGAGGUUGAUCUGGAAUUUUUGGGUUUGCUUUUCUGGAGUUGCUUCUGAGGGCCUCUUUGGGGGACGACCGCGAACUCUCUCCUCCCCCUCUCGUCUCCUCUCUAUCAUAACUUGAAAUACCUUGCUUCAGUGAUCUUAUCCCCCGAAUUAAGGGAUUUUUGGUCAGCCUUUUGUCCACCUACCAAGCCUGUCAACAGGGCUACUUCACCUACUCUUCUGACUUAGCCAAUUUUUUAACUUCUGCAGCUAUUGAGUGUGCGGAAUUUGCUGCGACUUUCCCGUGCUUUCAGGAGCUUAUCCCUGGAAAAUUUUCUUCUACUUGCACUAAUAUAUACGGUAUUUCAGCACGUGCAAAGAUCGAGCUAAAUGGGCGGCUGAGUGGGAUAUGGUGGGGCCACCAAUAUGGCUACUUAGCAGCUCCGAAUUAAGACUUAAUCGUGGACUGAGAUUUGGCAGCUGGUUUGGGUGCUUUAAUCCAUCACUUUGGCUGUGGUUUUUGAUCAAUUAGCAAGUUCAUGUAUAGUAGUUUAAGAUCUCGACCAAAUUUCGCAAUUGUGCCGACCCAAUUUUGCAAAAAAGUCCCUCAAAGUUGGCUAUUUUCUUAUCCGAAAAUACCCAAUUCAAUACAAAUGUGGUCUUUUUGGCUCAAUUUGAUUGAUUCUACUUGGCCCAAAUUCAAUUUCAACUUAAUUGAUGACCAAGAUGAUGAUUUAAGGGCUCGGGCGCAAAUUUUGCAAAAUUUGCGAAUUGGUCCCUCGACUUUUGGAAAUUGCAUUUUGGCCCCAACUUGUCAUUUGAAUUCCAAUCUGACCUCCUAGGCUUGGCUAGUCACAUUUAGAUCGUUGGCCCCAACUUGCUCUCUCUCUUUUCUUUUCUUUUUCGAUUUCUUCUUCUUCUUUUUUAAUUAUUAUUAUUUUUUUAUAGGAAAAACAUCUUUCAUUUAAAACACGAUAUUAAACACCUAGAUAAUCUAUAUGCCGGAAUGAAAUAUUUUUGAGCAAAAAUUAGGUGUCAACACCGACUAUGACGACUGCUGACGACUGACCAUAGGCAAAGGACAAGUUCGCCAAAGGCUGAGGUUUCACCAAUCUAACAAGGCUCGAGCUCGUUUGCCUCGGGCAAUCUUGAUGUCACCUGUGGAUGGUAAUCAACCGGAAAAGAAGGAAAAAAGAAAAUAGAAAAAGAAAAAAUAAUUAAAAAUUCUUUUUUAGAAUAAAAAUAAAAUAUUAUUGAAAGGAGUACACGGAUGAAAAUCAAAUCGGAUUUUCCAUACCAAACGGUGGAAAAAAAUUUCUAGUUCAUUUUCAGAUUUCAGCCUAACAUCGGAAAAUAUUGUUAUUUUUCUAAAAAAUUGACUUAUUGGAAAACAUUUUCUAGAAAUGUCAUAUUUUCCGCGAAACAAACAUAGCCUAAGUUUUUAUUAAAAUAUUCCAUUCACUCAUGAUAUUUCUAUGUCAUUUCUCGAUUAUGUCUGUGUAAGGAAAUCUGAUGUUCAAUAAUCUUUUGUUUUCUGGGAAGAUUUCCAUAACUUCAGUAAGUUGGAACAGCUCGUCUUGGAUUAUUCUUCGUUGAACACCACCAUGGGAAUCCUUUCCAGCCUUGGUCCUUUGACAUCUCUUAGAUUGUUGUCCUCAUACAGCACCGGUCUUAGUGGCAAACUAUCAUAUCAGAGUAAGUCCUAAUCUCUUAGUGUACAACUUGGACAUAAAAUGAAUCCUUCUUGUACGUGUGUGUCCUUGUUAUAUGUUCCGAUAUCUACCAUUGUAAUUGAAUUGACUUGUGAUAUCAAUAACAGGCUUGUGUAACCUCAUAAAACUAGAAGAGCUGGAUCUUAGCAUUAACGGAAUUACCGGCGGGCUUUUUUCACCAAAAAAAAAAGAGAAUUAUUAUAUCAUAUAACGUAUAAGUAAGGUAUCAUGCCCUUUUUUCACCCAAAAAAAAAAAAAAAAGAGGAAAAAAUAUAGAGAACCUUGGAAAAAUCAUCCCCACUUUUGAGAAUGCACAAUAUGCAUUUUGAGAGAAAGAUCCCAGUUGGAAAACACAAACAAACCCUUAGACCCAAAGAAAAAGAGAUUAACAACCCCCACCCCACGCCACCCCAAACCCCAUUUUUCUCCCCAUCCCUCUAUCUUCCACCACACCAAUGUUAACUGUUAGAGCUUGAACGUUGCACUCAAGGCCAUGGCCACAAGCUCAAAGGCAGGACGAAUGCCCGUGGCCUUUGACCUCAAAAGUCACGCGAUCUACUGACCUGGAGAGUAAGCCAAAUUGCCCAAGUAGGUAGCUAAAUUGCAACCAAAAUGCCAACGAAAAAUGCAAUCCCUUGUUCACCUUCUCGAAACAAUCUCUUUUCCACACUGAAUCUUCCGUUGCACAUCUAGUCUGCGAGGCUAAUGCAAAUUGGAGAGCAAACCACAUUAAAAGUGUAAUUUGCUACCACGGGAACUCGAAUUUUUCCUAAGAUUUUGCAUCAUGAUGCGCAAAAUGUAAAGCAAGGAUUGUCCCCAAGGACAUCUUCAGCCUCCCAAACACAACAAACUUAUAUAAAGCAACCAGUGAAGUUGUCGUCCAAUUAUAUCAGUGUUGUAUCUCCAAUAAGAAAUGCGCAUCUAGGAAAGCUAGUUGUGUGCAAUCCAACUUUAUUCCAAUAAUAAAGAAAUUAUUUCUACUUAGAGAUCUUUCAUGUAUCGAUGAAUAAAUCAUACUGGAUAUGCAAAAAUUCGGUGGUCAUUCUCUCAUCUCAUCUUCUUUAAUUAAUAUUUAAGUAUCCAGAGACUUUGUUAAAGAAAAUUUAGGAGAAUCCCUAUCAAAUUGCAAAACCAAUCAAUGUCGAAUUCCGCCCGGCUAGACUAGUUGUCCACGACAAUCCCAAAAGAGAGAGGCCCCGCCGCAGCUGUUUGCGUAGCGGGAUAUGAUAUCCCCAAGCUCCCGCCGCCGCAUCACAGCCGUCCACGAGUCCCCUUGCGGCCCACGGCGAAUCACCAACGGUCCAGAUGCGACCGCUUCCCCCAAGGCAAGGAAACCCCACGCGGGAGGAGGUGAUCCCUUUCGCUCGUCGUCGCCCCCAAAUCGAUCUCGAUCGAUCGAUCAAUUAGGUCAGAAAAUUCAAUCGAAGUUGAUUCGCGAGAUCGGACAUGGCUGGAGGCAAAAGGAGAUCGAAUUCGAGGAGAAACAGUGGCGGCGGCGGCGGCGGCGGCGGCGGCGGCACCGACGGCGGCGGCAGCUUCAACCGGAGCAGCAGCAAGUCCGGCGGCGGAAGAAGAGGGAGGGGAGGAGGAUUCGGCGCCGCGGCGUCGAUCAGAUCCGGCCUCUUCGUCGAAGGCGGCCUGUUGUCGGACUGGCAGCUCAAGACCCCGUCUCCGGCCCCCCGGCGAGGUCCAUUUCUCUCGGUUUUGCUCGCGCUUUUCUCGAUAAAAAUGGGGGCUUGAACGGGAACUGAAAAAUCCCAGUUGUCUCAGUUGUUUGUGUGUGAGAAGGGUGUUUUUUGUGAGCAUAAGAGAGUGUUUUGGUCUGCUUGGUUUCCAUUGUAGAUUGUAGGAUCGAAUCAAAAUUCGGAUGCUCCGGGCGAGGUAGGGGUCCCGAUUCUAAAAGCUUGCUGUGAAGUUCGAGAUCGAAUGCCGUCGGAUACCAGUAUCCAUCUCUCGACCGUCAGGUAAAGUCUAUUUGGUUUUUAGGAUCCAUGUUCAGGUUGCAAUAAUUUCAAGGUUCGUUGGCUUUCGUUUGGAAUCUUAUGCCGAUAGUUGCCCUCCUGGGUGUGAAAAGUUCAUGAGUCAUUGAAAUUAGUUAUUACUGUCUCUUGGAUUUCAUACCUGUUCAUUUUUUUAAACGGAGACUCAAUCAAGCUGAAGCCUCGAACCUAAUAGAAAGUAAUUUUAGGAGUUGUUCUUAGUUAAUAUCGUGAGGCUUAGAUUAUGGUUUUUGUCUUUGUAGCUUUCUUGAUUUGGGAAGACUUCUUGUGGAUCAGCUGAUCUCAGUCUCUCACUUGUGUUGAUCUGGGUUAGUUAAAUUCUUUUACAGGAUGGUCUGCAUCCAGUGUGGACGUUUGGAGAUAUAAUUGGAGAGAAUAAGAUGGAUUUUUCUCAGCCUUUCAUUCUGUGUGGUUCAAAGGACAGCCAAAUUGUUGCUUAUGUAGAUGAAGGGCCAUCGUCAGUGGAUCAAGCAAAUAUCAGUUAUGAGUAUCAUUCAGAUUUUGUUCUCAGUGAUAGCUCACACAGAGAAUUGGGUUAUUGUAAUGAAUACGAUGUAGCUCCAACGGGAAUCGAAGCAUCAUCAGGGAAAAUGGAAAAUCAAGAAGAGUCACAGAGUGGCAUGUCAUCGCCUGAGCAGGAAGUGGAUUAUUGUGAGAGCUUUGACUCUGGAACAGCUGAAAAGGGGGCUCAGCUUUUGUCAAAGGACACAUCCGCGAAAAAAAAUUCUGGGUUUGUGUCAAUUGGGGGAUUGAAAAUAUAUACGGAAGAUAUAUCCGAUGAGGAAGAUGGUGAGGAUGAUGUUGCGGAAUAUGGUGAUGAGGAAGACUCAGAGUCGGAGUCGGCUGAGCAGGAUGGAGCAACAGAUUCUUCUGAAAGUGAUGACUCUGAGGACACGUCUGAUAGUGGUUCAGAUGUCGAUGAUGAAAUUGCUCAAGAUUAUUUGGAAGGAAUUGGUGGGAGCGAUUCUCUUUUAGAUGCAAAAAAUUUGUUACAGCAGGUUUCUUCUUCGUCAGAUGAUUCAGACGAUUCUUCUAGUAGUGAUUUGGAUGAAACGAUGAAAAAAUUGGGUGGAAUUGCUCUCCAGGAUGCUUCCACGGAGUAUGGUAUGCAGAGGAAGCGUCAAUCAAAACAUCAAGGUCUUGGGAAUGUGAGAGAUAAUUGGUCAUCAGCUGUGGAUGAUUUUAUCUUGGUAAAAGAUGUGAGAACUCUUUCAGCCAAGAAGAAUCAUGAUACAAGAGUGCCUCAAUCUCAGUUGUUGGGGUCUCAGAAGAGUACAAGAUCGAGAAGAUUUCCGGGUAAACUUUGUAUAUGCAUUAAUCUAACUUAACUCUCUCUCCCUCCCCGCCCCGCCCCGUCCCAUCCCGUCCUGUCCCGUGGGGGAAUGAGAAAGUCGUGCUCAAUAGAAAACUAGUUUAGUGGUAUAAAUUGGGAUUGGAAAGUAAAUCCAAAUAUCAAUCAAUUAAUAAUGAAUCUUGGCUUUUUAUUUUGAUCCAUGAACUAGUAGUUAAGUCUCAAGUAUUAAAUACUUAAAUGGAGAAUUAAGGAGAUCGGUGUGUUUGGAUGACAUGAUUGGAGGGGUCUCUAUGUUUUUGAUCUCCUGAGAAAGAAACACGUUCGAGGCACACAAGAACCUCGCUUUCUGAAGUUUACUGUUUACUUUUCAAUUUAUGGAGCUCCCCUUCUGUGUCUUGGGAAAAAAUGAGCAAUUAUUGUCUCUUACCUGGGGAAUGAAGAACAAUUUAGAUUGUCUGAAGGCCCCUCAUAGGAUAAUGUUUCUUUAGUUUUUUGCUCUUUUGGUAAAAUUCAAAUGCAAUUGAUGCACAGGUGAAAAGAAGAAACAUCGCAAAGAAUUGAUUGCUGCUAAACGUCAGGACAGAAUGAUUCGUAGGGGCGUUGACCUUGAGAGUAUAAAUAAGGUAAGGGUGGAAGUAUCUGGAAGUUGCAAAGGCAUUCUUCCUUCUUCUCCUUAAUUAUAAAUCGUCCUUGUGAUUUGAUGUACAAUUAACAAGCAAUUGCAUAAUUAUCUUUUGGAUGUGCCUCUCAUUUUUCUUGUUUGUUUGAGCCAAAGUUAACUCUGUUACUUCUGCUCCAUGGAUCCUAUGAUGUCUUUUCUUAAUUUUCUUAUGCUUCGUGCAUUGAAUUGUUAUUUUGUUAUCAGAUUUUUAAGCAUGGAAGUUGUAGAUCUUGUUCCAUAAAUAUGAGAUGGUAAUGGAUGAAUGAGAGGGUACAUGUUCUUCUGAGAGGAUCCUUUUGGUGUUUUUUUUUUUUUUUUUUUUUGCUUUUUGGGGUCUUUCUGGGGUUAUACUGAGUAACAAAAAUCAUUAUCACGGUAGUAUAAAUUAUCUUGCUGGCAUGAAGUUCUAUGGCAUCAUUAGAAGUCAACUUUGUUAGGGGUGACGUUCUUCAACCUGUGUCCCUGUUCUUCCUAUAAUGCUUGAGUUUUUAAUGUCACAGUCAAUCAGGCAUUUCUGCUCCUAUGUUGUUUAAAUAGGGUUGGGCAUAUUAUCCUUUGUGUGUUAUUUAGAAUUGAUUAUUAGGACCAAAUCUCAAUGCUCUUCUUGGUUUCAUUUUUUUAGAAGCUCGAGCAGAUUGUUCUCAAUGGAAUUGACAUACAUUCUAUUUAACCUAUGCAUUCUCGGGAUUGUUCCCAGGUAUGUUUUAUCAUCUAUCUAUCUAUCUCUCUCUAGUUACUAAAGGGUGCGACUACUCGCCAAUCCUUCACCAUUCCUGCUAAUGCUCACUUUUGCAUGAUGAUGUACUCCCUCAUUCAUAGAAAGACCCUAUAAGAAUGAGAAUGGUCUUUCUUUGUCCUAAUCAAUUGUUAAAGUACCAAUUGCUCACGCCUGAAAAAAUUCGAGAUUUUGUGGUUGAUUGUGAUGUUACUAUGUAUUAUGGUCAAGUACCUUAACAUGCUUAUCUUAUCCCUGUAAAAUUGAUGUGUAAUGAUGCAGAUAAUAACAUGCUUAGUUUUACUUAUGCAGAACAUCCAAGCACAUGCAAAAGAGAUCUGUGUUAGGGUAUAUCAAUCAUAAAUAAGACUGCUGCUAUAAGUAUCUUUUAUUUUGUGCCAUGAUGACCAUAUUCAGUAUUUGUUAGAUUGAAAGUUUUAUUUUUCUGAUAAUCCUAAUUGAAUUUCUCGUAGAUCUGCUUAUCCUUGNNNNNNNNNNNNNNNNNNNNNNNNNNNNNNNNNNNNNNNNNNNNNNNNNNNNNNNNNNNNNNNNNNNNNNNNNNNNNNNNNNNNNNNNNNNNNNNNNNNNNNNNNNNNNNNNNNNNNNNNNNNNNNNNNNNNNNNNNNNNNNNNNNNNNNNNNNNNNNNNNNNNNNNNNNNNNNNNNNNNNNNNNNNNNNNNNNNNNNNNNNNNNNNNNNNNNNNNNNNNNNNNNNNNNNNNNNNNNNNNNNNNNNNNNNNNNNNNNNNNNNNNNNNNNNNNNNNNNNNNNNNNNNNNNNNNNNNNNNNNNNNNNNNNNNNNNNNNNNNNNNNNNNNNNNNNNNNNNNNNNNNNNNNNNNNNNNNNNNNNNNNNNNNNNNNNNNNNNNNNNNNNNNNNNNNNNNUACGCUUAUGUUCCAUGGAAAGUGAUUUUUGCUCCGGUAGUAGAUUGCGUCUGCUCUGAAGUCGGAACUCUUUUAAUAAUAACAACUUUUCUUUUUGUGAUAAGGUUCAAUGACUGGCAAGAAUUUAUCGGUUGCGAAGUAGCUCCCAAGGAUCGGGCAAGAAAAGGUUAAUGGGCCUUAUGUUUCCCCUAUCUUCGCCCUUUCUAGGCUUUAAACUUUUGCCGUUCUAAUUAUCAUCUUAUUUUUCCAGAUUUGUAACGGUUGUGUGAACACCGCAGACAUGCAUGCCAUCUUCAACUGAUAAACUUAUACUGGAAAAGGUAUUAAAUCUGAUUAGUGGAAACUUUAUGCAUAUCAGUGCUGUGUUUUCAUUCAGGAUUGUUAAAUCUUCCUUUUUCUGUGUUUCACAAAGUGUGGUCAGUUGUCUAUUUGCAUAUCUGGAAAUCCUACAAUCAAUUGUUGUGUUGCUAAUGACAGCUCAUCGGACCUGUUGAUGAUGAUGCUGAUUUCUCGGUAAUUGAUGUCCCACAUGCGAAGAUGACCAGAGGAGAUCGAAAUCAGGUAAGACCUCAAGAAGCUAAAAAAUCUAGCAGAAGCAGUCAUUAAAAAACUCAGUCAACCGUUCCAGUGGAAAGGUUUCAUUGGCCAGUUUCCAUGUAGGAACCUCAUUUUUAUUCAUAAAUUAAAAAAACUAACUUGUGAGUCAUGUAGGCAGGCUCUGUAAUACCUAUACGUGUGCUUCAUAUUAAGACUAAAUAUUGCAACCCCCUUCUCUUUCCAUAUAUAAAUGUUACUGAUUCAAAAGAUUCCUAUCCNNNNNNNNNNNNNNNNNNNNNNNNNNNNNNNNNNNNNNNNNNNNNNNNNNNNNNNNNNNNNNNNNNNNNNNNNNNNNNNNNNNNNNNNNNNNNNNNNNNNNNNNNNNNNNNNNNNNNNNNNNNNNNNNNNNNNNNNNNNNNNNNNNNNNNNNNNNNNNNNNNAUCUCAAAGCGCUAAGUCAAAGCAAAGUGGCAGAGGAGCAUCCGUGAGAAGCUUUUGAAAGGCAUACCAAAGGGUUUGGAUCCAGAGUGAUGGCAAAGAUGGGAUUUGUUGAAGGUAUGGGUUUGGGAAAGGAUUCUCAGGGCAUAGUCAACCCCUUGGCCGCUGUCAGGCUCCCGAAAUCUUGAGGAUUGGGUGCCACUGGUUAGGAUAUUUCUGUCCCCAACCUCAGCAAGCAGCUGCUUAGUAAGUUAUUCUACUUUGCAGUCAAGAUUAUGAAUGUGAAUAUCCUAGUGACAAUUAUUCUAAUUCUGUCUUAACUUCAAUGGAAGUUGUUACACCAGUAUUAUGUAAUGUGAACAUAGAAGCUAGUGACAUUGGCUCAUGCACCCUUUGUUAUAAG
rnacentral:lncRNA from 1 species